UGGAAGAGCCAUAUCACCCUGCAGCUCUCGCUUCACACUGAAGCUAAGCAGGGGUGAGCCUGACCAGUACCUGGAUGGGAGAUGUCCCAAAACUAAGCUUGCUGCUGGAA
rnacentral:rRNA from 1 species